rnacentral:rRNA from 1 species
AACGAACGCUGGCGGCAUGCCUUACACAUGCAAGUCGAACGGCAGCGGGGGAGAAGCUUGCUUUUCCUGCCGGCGAGUGGCGAACGGGUGAGUAAUACAUCGGAACGUGCCCUGUAGUGGGGGAUAACUAGUCGAAAGAUUAGCUGAUACCGCAUACGACCUGAGGGUGAAAGUGGGGGACCGCAAGGCCUCAUGCUAUAGGAGCGGCCGAUGUCUGAGUAGCUAGUUGGUGGGGUAAAGGCCUACCAAGGCGACGAUCAGUAGCUGGUCUGAGAGUACGAUCAGCAAAACUGGGACUGAGACACGGCCCAGACUCCUACGGGAGGCAGCAGUGGGGAAUUUUGGACAAUGGGCGAAAGCCUGAUCCAGCAAUGCCGCGUGUGUGAAGAAGGCCUUCGGGUUGUAAAGCACUUUUGUCCGGAAAGAAAUGGCUCUGGUUAAUACCUGGGGUCGAUGACGGUACCGGAAGAAUAAGGACCGGCUAACUACGUGCCAGCCGCCGCCGUAA